rnacentral:rRNA from 1 species
UACGGGGGGAGCAAGCGUUGUUCGGAUUUACUGGGCGUAAAGGGCGCGUAGGCGGCCAGCACAAGUCAGUUGUGAAAUCUCCGAGCUUAACUCGGAAAGGUCAACUGAUACUGUGCGGCUAGAGUGCGGAAGGGGCAACUGGAAUUCUUGGUGUAGCGGUGAAAUGCGUAGAUAUCAAGAGGAACACCUGCGGCGAAGGCGGGUUGCUGGGCCGACACUGACGCUGAUGCGCGAAAGCCAGGGGAGCAAACGGG